rnacentral:tRNA from 1 species
CUGUGUGUAGCUCAGCGGCACAGCAUCUGUCUAGCAAGCACAGGAUCCUGAGUUCAAUUCCCAGUACCAGA